rnacentral:rRNA from 1 species
AACGCCCGGUCCCAUCCCGAACCCGGAAGCUAAGCCUACCAGCGCCAAUGAUACUACCCAAAAGGGUGGAAAAGUAGGACACCGCCGAAC